rnacentral:rRNA from 1 species
UAGGACGAACGCUGGCGGCACGCUUAACACUUGCAAGUCGAACGGAGUUAAAGAGCUUGCUUUUAAACUUAGUGGCGGACGGGUGAGUAACACGUGAGCAAUCUGCCUUCAGAGGGGGAUAGCAGUUGGAAACGACUGAUAAUACCGCAUAAUAUAGCGGGACCGCAUGAUCCUGCUAUCAAAGAUUUUUAUCGCUGAAAGAUGAGCUCGCGUCUGAUUAGGUAGUUGGUGAGGUAACGGCUCACCAAGCCGACGAUCAGUAGCCGGACUGAGAGGUUGAACGGCCACAUUGGGACUGAGACACGGCCCAGACUCCUACGGGAGGCAGCAGUGGGGAAUAUUGCACAAUGGGCGCAAGCCUGAUGCAGCGAUGCCGCGUGAGGGAAGAAGGUUUUAGGAUUGUAAACCUCUGUCCUAUGGAAAGAUAAUGACGGUACCAUAGGAGGAAGCUCCGGCUAACUACGUGCCAGCCGCCGC